rfam:Schistosoma rodhaini strain Burundi genome assembly, scaffold: SROB_scaffold0006866
AUGCAGGUGACGAGUCCCAAAUAGAACGAAAUGAGCGUCCUGGAU